AGUUUGAUCCUGGCUCAGAACGAACGCUGGCGGCAUGCCUAACACAUGCAAGUCGAACGAUGCUUUCGGGCAUAGUGGCGCACGGGUGCGUAACGCGUGGGAAUCUGCCCUUUGGUCUGGGAUAACUGUUGGAAACGACAGCUAAUACCGGAUGAUGACGAAAGUCCAAAGAUUUAUCGCCUGAGGAUGAGCCCGCGUAGGAUUAGCUAGUUGGUGUGGUAAAGGCCUACCAAGGCGACGAUCCAUAGCUGGUCUGAGAGGAUGAUCAGCCACAUUGGGACUGAGACACGGCCCAAACUCCUACGGGAGGCAGCAGUGGGGAAUAUUGGACAAUGGGCGCAAGCCUGAUCCAGCCAUGCCGCGUGAGUGAUGAAGGCCUUAGGGUUGUAAAGCUCUUUCACCGGUGAAGAUAAUGACGGUAACCGGAGAAGAAGCCCCGGCUAACUUCGUGCCAGCAGCCGCGGUAA
rnacentral:rRNA from 1 species